rnacentral:lncRNA from 1 species
AGCUUGCACCCAUGGAUCCACUGCCUGUGCAGCCGUAACUGACUUAGCUGUGCACUGAAACUUCCAGGGCAGCCAGGGACACUCGGGCCUGCAGAAAGGUCUCCCAUAGACCCUAUAGGGCCUGUGGGGGCAGAAGAGAGGUAGCUGCAAGCUCUGUGCAUUGUGCAGGUGGAGUCCAACUCUGGGGCACCUCAGUCGCAGCCUUAAAACUGGUCUACUAAAGUUACAAGCCAACGCAGAGGGAAGAUGUGCCAGCCCGAUUUCAGCAUGUACCAGCAGUGGUGUCUAGAUGCCCAAGAUGCCCUUGUGCUGUGUGUUCUACAGACCCUCUCGGCACCAAAAAAGUCAAAGAAGGAAAGAAGAAAUUGUGGGACAGAUUACCCAAGAUCAUACAGCGAGUUCAUGGACUACAACCCAGGAAAGGAGUGAGUCGGUGGCUUCCCUAUGAGCUGUUAAUCCAAGGUAGGUCACAGUCGCAGUUCCAACCAUCCAGACUCGAUCAGCCUGAAGUCCUUUGCGGAUGGAGAUCUGGUUUCCCUGCUCCCAACAGUGCUGCUAAACAAGACUAGGGCUGGAUUUUCAAAACGGCCUAAGUGUUUUCUGAAUUUAUGCACCUGAUGAAGCCCGUUGAGGUUCACCUUUUCAGUGUGCUGGUUUAGGUGAAAACAACAGAGGAAACGGUGUUAAUCACUAACUCACUCUGAGUCAGUUCACUGGUGGUAAGCAGCUGAUUGAGAGGAAGGAUGGCUUUGUGGGAGGGGGCUAGCCUGGGUCUCAGGAGUUCCAGGUUCAACCAACCCUGGCUCUACCACAGGCUUCCUCUGUGACUGUGGGCAAGUCACUUAGGGUGGGAUCCACACAGAGACUUAGGCACUGUGUCACUCAGCAUGGUAUCAUCUAAAAAAUCCCAGGAACAGCGCUACGAUCCACAAAGCCUGAGUUAGGCAACUUGGCUCCCUAUACAAUGAAGGGGAGAGAGAGGUGCCUAAGAAUGGGAUCAACAAAAACCAGCAGGCUACACGGGGAGAUCCCUAAUCUAGCCAAUGGAAAUGCUGACCAGAGGGGUAUGUGCUAAGCCCUGCCCUCUCCCAGAGAGAGGCAUAUAAGUGCAGGAUGCAGAAGGUGCUUAGCUCUGCAAAGCCACCCGUGAACAGGGACCCACCGCCUGGAAUCACUCCUUGAGGGAAUGAGUUAAGUGCCUACCUCACUCCAAUCAAAAUGGGAAGAGGCCCUGCCCACCUUAUAACUUCUAGCACAGUGGUUAGUGCAUUGGCCUGGGAUGUGGGAGGCCCAGGUUCAAUUCCUCCUCUGCCAGAGGCUCUCAAACCUCUCAAGGGCAUGCUCCAGCCACUGGGCUAUGGGGUAUUCUGAUGUAGGGCUUCCUCACUCUCUCCUGUUGAAGCUGUUUCACUGAGGAUAAACACAGCCA